CUACGGGUCGCUGCAGUGGGGAAUAUUGGACAAUGGGGGAAACCCUGAUCCAGCAAUGCCGCGUGUGUGAAGAAGGCCUGCGGGUUGUAAAGCACUUUCGGUUGGGAGGACUGCUUCUAGCACUAAUAUUGUUGGAAGUUGACGUUACCUUCAGAAGAAGCACCGGCUAACUCCGUGCCAGCAGCCGCGGUAAUACGGAUGGGUGCAAGCGUUAAUCGGAAUUACUGGGCGUAAAGCGCGCGUAGGCGGCUAGAUCAGUCGGGUGUGAAAGCCCCGGGCUUAACCUGGGAACUGCAUCCGAUACUGUCUAGCUUGAGUACAGGAGAGGAGAGUGGAAUUCCACAUGUAGCGGUGAAAUGCGUAGAUAUGUGGAGGAACACCAAUGGCGAAGGCAGCUCUCUGGCCUGAUACUGACGCUGAGGUGCGAAAGCGUGGGGAGCAAACAGGAUUAGAUACCCUCGUAGUC
rnacentral:rRNA from 1 species